rnacentral:rRNA from 1 species
GAGUUUGAUCCUGGCUCAGAUUGAACGCUGGCGGCAGGCUUAACACAUGCAAGUCGAACGAUAACAUGAGUGCUUGCACUUGAUGACGAGUGGCGGACGGGUGAGUAAUGUAUGGGGAUCUGCCGAAUGGAGGGGGACAACAGUUGGAAACGACUGCUAAUACCGCAUAAAGUUGAGAGACCAAAGCAUGGGACCUUCGGGCCAUGCGCCAUUCGAUGAACCCAUAUGGGAUUAGCUAGUUGGUAGGGUAAAGGCUUACCAAGGCGACGAUCUCUAGCUGGUCUGAGAGGAUGACCAGCCACACUGGAACUGAGACACGGUCCAGACUCCUACGGGAGGCAGCAGUGGGGAAUAUUGCACAAUGGGGGAAACCCUGAUGCAGCCAUGCCGCGUGUAUGAAGAAGGCCUUCGGGUUGUAAAGUACUUUCGGUAAUGAGGAAGGUGGUGUAUCUAAUAGGUGCAUCAAUUGACGUUAAUUACAGAAGAAGCACCGGCUAACUCCGUGCCAGCAGCCGCGGUAAUACGGAGGGUGCGAGCGUUAAUCGGAAUGACUGGGCGUAAAGGGCAUGUAGGCGGAUAAUUAAGUUAGGUGUGAAAGCCCUGGGCUCAACCUAGGAAUUGCACUUAAAACUGGUUAACUAGAGUAUUGUAGAGGAAGGUAGAAUUCCACGUGUAGCGGUGAAAUGCGUAGAGAUGUGGAGGAAUACCGGUGGCGAAGGCGGCCUUCUGGACAGAUACUGACGCUGAGAUGCGAAAGCGUGGGGAGCAAACAGGAUUAGAUACCCUGGUAGUCCACGCUGUAAACGAUGUCGAUUUGGAGUUUGUUGCCUAGAGUGAUGGGCUCCGAAGCUAACGCGAUAAAUCGACCGCCUGGGGAGUACGGCCGCAAGGUUAAAACUCAAAUGAAUUGACGGGGGCCCGCACAAGCGGUGGAGCAUGUGGUUUAAUUCGAUGCAACGCGAAGAACCUUACCUGGUCUUGACAUCCACAGAAUCUGUAGAGAUGCGGGAGUGCCUUCGGGAACUGUGAGACAGGUGCUGCAUGGCUGUCGUCAGCUCGUGUUGUGAAAUGUUGGGUUAAGUCCCGCAACGAGCGCAACCCUUAUCCUUUGUUGCCAUCGGUUAGGCCGGGAACUCAAAGGAGACUGCCGUUGAUAAAGCGGAGGAAGGUGGGGACGACGUCAAGUCAUCAUGGCCCUUACGACCAGGGCUACACACGUGCUACAAUGGCGUAUACAAAGGGAGGCGA